rnacentral:rRNA from 1 species
UGAGUAACCUGCCCUUGACACUGGAAUAACAGUUGGAAACAGCUGCUAAUACCGGAUAUGACCUCUGACGACAUCGUCUGGAGGUGGAAAGCUCCGGCGGUCAAGGAUGGGCUCGCGGCCUAUCAGCUUGUUGGCGAGGUAACGGCUCACCAAGGCUUCGACGGGUAGCCGACCUGAGAGGGCGACCGGCCACACGUGGGACUGAGAUACGGCCCAGACCUCCCGACGGGAGCAG